UAAUACGUAGGUGGCAAGCGUUGUCCGGAAUUACUGGGUGUAAAGGGCGUGUAGGCGGGAGUGUAAGUCAGAUGUGAAAACCCGGAGCUCAACUUCGGGAUUGCAUCUGAAACUAUGCUUCUUGAGUGCUGGAGAGGAAAGCGGAAUUCCUAGUGUAGCGGUGAAAUGCGUAGAUAUUAGGAGGAACACCAGUGGCGAAGGCGGCUUUCUGGACAGUAACUGACGCUGAGGCGCGAAAGCGUGGGGAGCGAACAGGAUUAGAUACCCUGGUAGUCCACGCUGUAAACGAUGGAUACUAGGUGUAGGAGGUAUCGACCCCUUCUGUGCCGGAGUUAACACAAUAAGUAUCCCACCUGGGGAGUACGGCCGNCAAGGUUGAAACUCAAAGGAAUUGACGGGGGCCCGCACAAGCAGUGGAGUAUGUGGUUUAAUUCGAUGCAACGCGAAGAACCUUACCAGGGCUUGACAUCCCUUGACGUUCUAAGAAAUUAGGAUUCCCUUCGGGGCAAGGAGACAGGUGGUGCAUGGUUGUCGUCAGCUCGUGUCGUGAGAUGUUGGGUUAAGUCCCGCAACGAGCGCAACCCUUGUUGUUAGUUGCCAGCAUUCAGUUGGGCACUCUAACAAGACUGCCGGUGACAAAUCGGAGGAAGGUGGGGACGACGUCAAAUCAUCAUGCCCCUUAUGUCCUGGGCUACACACGUACUACAAUGGCUAUUACAAUGGGAAGCAAAACCGCGAGGUAGAGCAAAUCCUGUAAAGAUAGUCCCAGUUCGGAUUGCAGGCUGAAACUCGCCUGCAUGAAGUCGGAAUUGCUAGUAAUGGCAGGUCAGCAUACUGCCGUGAAUACGUUCCCGGGCCUUGUACACACCGCCCGUCACACCAUGAGAGUUUGCAACACCCGAAGUCAGUAGCAUAACCGCAAGGAGUGCGCUGCCGAAGGUGGGGCAGAUGAUUGGGGUG
rnacentral:rRNA from 1 species